GAAGUCGUUACUCUAACCCUUGUGGAGGAGGACGCCGAAGGUGGGGCUAAUGACUGGGGUGAAGUCGUAACAAGGUAGCCGUACCGGAAGGUGCGGCUGGAUCACCUCCUAACAGGGAGACAACAAAAUGUAAAUAUUAAUUUUGUCACCUUAGGUCGAUCGGUAUCUCAGAUUCUUAUUAUUUAAGGAUUUCAGUUUCUAAGUUUUUUCUAGGUCACACCCAUCACUUUUUCCUGGGCCAUUAGCUCAGGUGGUUAGAGCGCACCCCUGAUAAGGGUGAGGUCCCUGGUUCAAGUCCAGGAUGGCCCAUAUCUCUAUGUUGGGGGUAUAGCUCAGUUGGUAGAGCGCCUGCUUUGCAAGCAGGAUGUCAACGGUUCGAGUCCGCUUACCUCCACUGAAUACCACCUCUUACAUAUAGUUGAAGUGGGAAAUUGUUUUGAGUCGUGUCCUAAUUUGCUCUGAGCGAAUCUAGCUUCCUAUUUUAUCCAAGAAAUAAGAUGCUGGACUCAUUGAAUUUUUUUCAUUGUUUUCAGAGAACCUUGACAACUGCAUAGAUUAUUUUUAAAGACAAUAAGCAUCUUUAAUGAUGCAGAUUUAUUAUUUGUGCGAAUGCAUUAAAUAACAAUUCUAUUAAGCUGAUGCUUCAAUUAUUGAAGUUAUUGGUCAAGCUACAAAGGGCUCACGGAGGAUACCUAGGCACACACAGGCGAUGAA
rnacentral:misc_RNA from 1 species